CGGAAAGGCCCGCUUGCGGGUACUCGAGUGGCGAACGGGUGAGUAACACGUGGGCAACCUGCCCCUGGCUCUGGGAUAACAUUUGGAAACAGGUGCUAAUACCGGAUAUUGACUUUCCGCCGCAUGGUGGUUUGUUGAAAGUUUUUUCGGCUGGGGAUGGGCCCGCGGCCUAUCAGCUUGUUGGUGGGGUGAUGGCCUACCAAGGCGACGACGGGUAGCCGGCCUGAGAGGGCGACCGGCCACACUGGGACUGAGACACGGCCCAGACUCCUACGGGAGGCAGCAGUGGGGAAUAUUGCGCAAUGGGCGGAAGCCUGACGCAGCGACGCCGCGUGAGGGAUGACGGCCUUCGGGUUGUAAACCUCUUUCANCAUGAACGAAUUUGGACGGUACCUGCAGAAGAAGCACCGGCUAACUACGUGCCAACAGCCGCGGUAAAC
rnacentral:rRNA from 1 species